CCUUAACACAUGGCAAGUUCGAGCGGCACCACAGGGAGAUCUUGUUCUGUGGGUGGCGAGUGACGGACGGGUGAGGAAUACGUCGCAUGCUACUCUGUCUGGGGGGAUACCGUAAGGAAACAUACGCUACUACCGCAUACAACCUAUCGGUGAAUUCUCGGUAUCUUCACGACCUCGCGCGAUUGAAUGAGCCGAUGUCUGAUUAGCUAUUUGGCGGUGUAAAGGCCCACCAAUGCCACGAUCCGUAUCUGGUCUGAGACGAUGAUCGGCCACACUGGAACUGAGACACGGUCCAGACUCCUACGGCAGGCAGCAGUGGGGAAUAUUGGACAUUGGGCGCGGGCCUGAUCCAGCCAUACCGCGUGCGUGAAGAAGGCCUUCGGGUUGUAGAGCCCUUUUGUUGGUAAAGAGAUCCAACCGGCUACUACCUGGUUGGGAUGACCGUACCCGAAGAAUAACCACCGGCCAACUUCGUGCCAGCAGCCGCGGUCAUACGAAGGGUGCAGGCGUUACUCGUAAUUACUGGUCGUAGAGCGUGCGUAGGUGGUCGUUUAAUUCCGUUGUGAAAGCCCUGGGCUCAGCCUGGGACCUGCAGUGGAUACUGGGCGACUAGAGUGUGGUAGAGGGUAGCGAAAUUCCUGGUGUAGCAGUGAAAUGCGUAGAGAUCAUGAGGAACAUCCAUGGCGAAGGCAGCUACCUGGACCAACACUGACACUGACGCACAGAGCGUGGGGGGGAAGAGCACAAAAAAAAAAGGA
rnacentral:rRNA from 1 species